rnacentral:lncRNA from 1 species
GAAGGCGGCCCGCGGGCUCCGCAGCCUCCGCAGCCUCCGCAGCCUCCGCAGCCGUGGCGCCCGCCCCCCUCCGGGGAGGCCUUCCCCCCUUCGCCCUCCGGCCCUUCGAUGGGGGGCACUUUGCGCGGACGCCCUCCGCUCGCCGCCGCCCCUCCCGCCUCGGAGACUCUCUUCCUUCCUUCCCCUUUUUCCUUACGCAAUAUACAGAAAUGCGCGAGGCGGUGGUUGGUGUUCAUUUCUUCCCGGUGGUUGUGUGCAUGCGGUGGGAUUACUGCCCAGGACCACACCGUGGCCUAGCUGCUGGUCUGUCAGCGAGAGAGGGGGAAAGCAGAGACCCCCGUCCACAACUUGGACCUGGUCUCCCGCCCCUCUCCGGCGGAGUGGAGAUCCUAUUCAGAGGGGCCGGUCUCUCUAAAUAUGCCCCAGAUUUUCCCUGCCGGGAAUGGGGAGCUGCCCCGGACCCUGUGCCUGCCCCCUAGGAGCUCCUGGGAUCCUUGUCUUGCUCAGACACAAACGGAAGUGUUGCGGCCAUCUGGCAACAGGGGAUGAGGAUCCGGUGUUGGGGGCUGCGAGCUGGUUCUGGGCCGCACAAAGAGGAGUUGUAAUGGUCAAAUAGUCUAGUGUGAUUCUGUUCAAGAGCUUCUUCCCCCUCUUUCAUCUUCCCCCAAAUAAAAACAAAUGAACAAACA